AAUUUCGACACUAUGGCGUGUGUGUAAUUACAGGCAUGCUAAAACCUUUUCUGUAUUGUUCCACACUUUCCAUAUAUUACAUAGAUAAUUCACCGACAGGAUUUGAAAGAUGAGGAAAGAAACCUCGCUCUGACAAUAUACAAAAGGACCCUCCCUGGUGUACUGUUUUUGCAAUGCUUGAGGACAUUUAAAGCAGUGAAAAAAAUGAAAGGAGGAUGUUUCCCAGCACAGGAAAUCUCCAUGAUCAUACCUAUAACCCCUGUCCUCCCUCUGCUCCAGCCACGUUGAUCCGUCUCACUGCAUCUCCCUCUGUUGACAGUCCCCAGUCCUCCCUCUGCUCCAGCCACGUUGAUCCGUCUCACUGCAUCUCCCUCUGUUGACAGUCCCCUGUCCUCCCUCUGCUCCAGCCACUUUGAUCCGUCUCACUGCAUCUCCCUCUGUUGACAGUCCCCUGUCCUCCCUCUGCUCCAGCCACUUUGAUCCGUCUCACUGCAUCUCCCUCUGUUGACAGUCCCCUGUUCUCCCUCUGCUCCAGCCAC
ensembl:lncRNA